UAAGGAAGACACCAAGCUUACAUGCUCUUGGUUUUUGGUAGGAAGACGAGCAACUAAAAGGGUUUUGUAGGUAACAACAAAUAGGUACUUAGGCGAAUAUCUUGUAGGUAAGUUCAAAGCGUACACCAAUAAAUUUUGGUAUGAGUGUCAACUGCUGAAAAGGUAAAACCACAUUAAAUAGGUUAGCUGUCAAAUUACGAUGGAGAAAGAAAUCAAAUAUACAAGUUUAUACCAAUCUCCAUCAAGCUACAUAAACCACUACUUAAUGUAUUCUUGGGCAUAACAAAAGACUAAUUUAUUAUUAAUGGAAGAUAUUAGUAAUAAAAAGGACGCAAUUGUCCAAAAACAAAAAGAACUAGAUUCCAAGCAAUAGGAAUUAAGAAAACUGAGCAGAGUCAUCAGCCUACAAACCGACAAUUCCGAUAAUUUAUUCUGAGACUUUGUUUACCAACGCCUAAUGAAUAAUACAACAUCAAGGUCAUGUCAGUUAAACCAAUACGAUAACAUUAACAGUAAAUACGUAAAGAGAUAGAUUAAAAGCUGUGUCUGAAAGACAACUAAAAGAGCGAACCCUAUACGGGCUAAAACCAAAACGGGAUUUUAAGAGAGGGGUAAAAAAUAAGAUUUAAGAAGAACGAGGUUCAAGUGAGAGUGAUUUAUCAAAUAAAUAGGACAGAUCUUGGUUAACAAAGCGACACCGAUGUAAAAUAUAGCUUUGAAGAUCAGUAUUAGAUUGCAUUUCGUAAGAGGAGGAUUGGAAUCGGCACACAUCUGCGACGACAUCGGCAAGUCGAUGCCG